rnacentral:rRNA from 1 species
GUGGGGAAUAUUGGACAAUGGGCGAAAGCCUGAUCCAGCCAUGCCGCGUGUGUGAAGAAGGUCUUCGGAUUGUAAAGCACUUUAAGUUGGGAGGAAGGGCAGUAAGUUAAUACCUUGCUGUUUUGACGUUACCGACAGAAUAAGCACCGGCUAACUUCGUGCCAGCAGCCGCGGUAAUACGAAGGGUGCAAGCGUUAAUCGGAAUUACUGGGCGUAAAGCGCGCGUAGGUGGUUUUGUAAGUUGGAGGUGAAAUCCCCGGGCUCAACCUGGGAACUGCCUCCAAAACUGGAUGACUAGAGUACGGUAGAGGGUAGUGGAAUUUCCUGUGUAGCGGUGAAAUGCGUAGAUAUAGGAAGGAACACCAGUGGCGAAGGCGACUACCUGGACUGAUACUGACACUGAGGUGCGAAAGCGUGGGGAGCAAACAGGAUUAGAUACCCUUGUAGUCC